rnacentral:misc_RNA from 1 species
GAUGAUCGACAGUAUGACGAGUUUUGAAUUCACCCCCGCAUGUCGAGACACUCCAGGCGUCCUUUGCUCGGAUUUUGGCCAACCGCGUGCGGUAACACCCGGGAGACCAGCUUCCGUCCCUUAUCCUUGAGAGGAUGGGGGGACAACGAUUUGUGACACCCAGGCAAACGUGCCCUCGGCCAAAAGGCUUGGGGCGCAACUUGCGUUCAAAGACUCAAUGGUUCAGGGGAUUCUGCAAUUCACACCAAGUAUCGCAUUUCGCUACUUUCUUCAUCGAUGCGAGAGCCGAGAUAUCCGUUGCCGAGAGUCGUUUUAGACUUUAAAUUGCAGCACAACUUCCGCACAAACACCGUCUCCGGGUUGGCGAACGCAGGCUGUUUAAUUGCAUGUUCCUUGACACUUUUCGUGGCGGGGUUUGGUGAAAUCCGGAAGCUAUGCCCACGAACCAACCAAGACAAAAAUCUUGCCCGGGGACGGAACGCAUAACCACGGAAUC